ACUCCUACGGGAGGCAGCAGUAAGGAAUAUUGGACAAUGCCCGAAAGGGUGAUCCAGCCAUCCCGCGUGAAGGAAGACUGCCCUAUGGGUUGUAAACUUCUUUUAUAUACCAAGAAACCCCGGAUUCGAUCCCGGCUGCAGCGGUAGUAUAUGAAUAAGCACCGGCUAACUCCGUGCCAGCAGCCGCGGUAAUACGGAGGGUGCAAGCGUUAUCCGGAAUCACUGGGUUUAAAGGGUGCGUAGGCGGCGUUGUAAGUCAGAGGUGAAAUCCCACAGCUUAACUGUGGAACUGCCUUUGAUACUGCAAUGCUUGAAUCAGGUUGAGGUCGGCGGAAUGUGUUGUGUACGGUGAAAUGCAUAGAUAUGACAUAGAACACCAAUUGCGAAGGCAGCUGGCUAGACCUGUA
rnacentral:rRNA from 1 species